UACGUAGGGUGCGAGCGUUGUCCGGAAUUACUGGGCGUAAAGAGCUCGUAGGUGGUUUGUCGCGUUUGUCCGUGAAAACUCACAACUCAAUUGUGGGCGUGCGGGCGAUACGGGCAGACUGGAGUACUGCAGGGGAGACUGGAAUUCCUGGUGUAGCGGUGGAAUGCGCAGAUAUCAGGAGGAACACCGGUGGCGAAGGCGGGGUCUCUGGGCAGUAACUGACGCUGAGGAGCGAAAGCGUGGGGAGCGAACAGG
rnacentral:rRNA from 1 species